rnacentral:rRNA from 1 species
CAAGUCGGGGGAUCCCAGCAAUGGGGGAACCGGCGUAAGGGGCAGUAAGGCAUGGGUACCUACCCUGAAGUUCGGGAUAGCCAUCAGAGAUGGUGGGUAAUACCGGAUGAUGUCGAGAGACCAAAGAUUUAUCGCUUUGGGAGGGGCCCAUGUGAUAUUAGCUAGUUGGUGAGGUAACGGCUCACCAAGGCGAAGAUGUCUAGCGGGUGUGAGAGCACGACCCGCGCCACUCGCACUGAGACACUGGCGAGACACCUACGGGUGGCUGCAGUCGAGGAUCUUCGGCAAUGGGCGAAAGCCUGACCGAGCGAUGCCGCGUGCGCGAUGAAGGCCUUCGGGUUGUAAAGCGCUUUAGUGGGGGAGAAAAGGGAAACCUUGAUCUAUCCCAAAAAUAAGCUCGGGCUAAGUUCGUGCCAGCAGCCGCGGUAAGACGAACCGAGCGAACGUUGUUCGGAAUCACUGGGCUUAAAGGGCGCGUAGGCGGGCUGUCAAGUCUGGGGUGAAAUCCCACGGCUCAACCGUGGAACUGCCUUAGAUACUGACGGCCUCGAGGGAGAUAGGGGCGAGCGAACUGUGAGUGGAGCGGUGAAAUGCGUUGAUAUUCACAGGAACUCCGGUGGCGAAGGCGGCUCGCUGGAUCUUUUCUGACGCUGAGGCGCGAAGCUAGGG